GAUGAACGCUGGCGGCGUGCCUAAUACAUGCAAGUCGAGCGAACGGACGAGAAGCUUGCUUUUCUGAUGUUAGCGGCGGACGGGUGAGUAACACGUGGAUAACCUACCUAUAAGACUGGGAUAACUUCGGGAAACCGGAGCUAAUACCGGAUAAUAUUUUGAACCGCAUGGUUCAAAAGUGAAAGACGGUCUUGCUGUCACUUAUAGAUGGAUCCGCGCCGCAUUAGCUAGUUGGUAAGGUAACGGCUUACCAAGGCAACGAUGCAUAGCCGACCUGAGAGGGUGAUCGGCCACACUGGAACUGAGACACGGUCCAGACUCCUACGGGAGGCAGCAGUAGGGAAUCUUCCGCAAUGGGCGAAAGCCUGACGGAGCAACGCCGCGUGAGUGAUGAAGGUCUUCGGAUCGUAAAACUCUGUUAUUAGGGAAGAACAUAUGUGUAAGUAACUGUGCACAUCUUGACGGUACCUAAUCAGAAAGCCACGGCUAACUACGUGCCAGCAGCCGCGGUAAUACGUAGGUGGCAAGCGUUAUCCGGAAUUAUUGGGCGUAAAGCGCGCGUAGGCGGUUUUUUAAGUCUGAUGUGAAAGCCCACGGCUCAACCGUGGAGGGUCAUUGGAAACUGGAAAACUUGAGUGCAGAAGAGGAAAGUGGAAUUCCAUGUGUAGCGGUGAAAUGCGCAGAGAUGUGGAGGAACACCAGUGGCGAAGGCGACUUUCUGGUCUGUAACUGACGCUGAUGUGCGAAAGCGUGGGGAUCAAACAGGAUUAGAUACCCUGGUAGUCCACGCCGUAAACGAUGAGUGCUAAGUGUUAGGGGGUUUCCGCCCCUUAGUGCUGCAGCUAACGCAUUAAGCACUCCGCCUGGGGAGUACGACCGCAAGGUUGAAACUCAAAGGAAUUGACGGGGGCCCGCACAAGCGGUGGAGCAUGUGGUUUAAUUCGAAGCAACGCGAAGAACCUUACCAAAUCUUGACAUCCUUUGACAACUCUAGAGAUAGAGCCUUCCCCUUCGGGGGACAAAGUGACAGGUGGUGCAUGGUUGUCGUCAGCUCGUGUCGUGAGAUGUUGGGUUAAGUCCCGCAACGAGCGCAACCCUUAAGCUUAGUUGCCAUCAUUAAGUUGGGCACUCUAAGUUGACUGCCGGUGACAAACCGGAGGAAGGUGGGGAUGACGUCAAAUCAUCAUGCCCCUUAUGAUUUGGGCUACACACGUGCUACAAUGGACAAUACAAAGGGCAGCGAAACCGCGAGGUCAAGCAAAUCCCAUAAAGUUGUUCUCAGUUCGGAUUGUAGUCUGCAACUCGACUACAUGAAGCUGGAAUCGCUAGUAAUCGUAGAUCAGCAUGCUACGGUGAAUACGUUCCCGGGUCU
rnacentral:rRNA from 1 species